rnacentral:rRNA from 1 species
CGGCGUCGAGCGGCGGACGGGUGAGUAAUGCCUAGGAAAUUGCCUUGAUGUGGGGGAUAACCAUUGGAAACGAUGGCUAAUACCGCAUGAUGCCUACGGGCCAAAGAGGGGGACCUUCGGGCCUCUCGCGUCAAGAUAUGCCUAGGUGGGAUUAGCUAGUUGGUGAGGUAAUGGCUCACCAAGGCGACGAUCCCUAGCUGGUCUGAGAGGAUGAUCAGCCACACUGGAACUGAGACACGGUCCAGACUCCUACGGGAGGCAGCAGUGGGGAAUAUUGCACAAUGGGCGCAAGCCUGAUGCAGCCAUGCCGCGUGUAUGAAGAAGGCCUUCGGGUUGUAAAGUACUUUCAGCAGUGAGGAAGGGGGUGUCGUUAAUAGCGGCAUUUCUUGACGUUAGCUGCAGAAGAAGCACCGGCUAACUCCGUGCCAGCAGCCGCGGUAAUACGGAGGGUGCGAGCGUUAAUCGGAAUUACUGGGCGUAAAGCGCAUGCAGGUGGUUUGUUAAGUCAGAUGUGAAAGCCCGGGGCUCAACCUCGGAACUGCAUUUGAAACUGGCAAACUAGAGUACUGUAGAGGGGGGUAGAAUUUCAGGUGUAGCGGUGAAAUGCGUAGAGAUCUGAAGGAAUACCAGUGGCGAAGGCGGCCCCCUGGACAGAUACUGACACUCAGAUGCGAAAGCGUGGGGAGCAAACAGGAUUAGA